ensembl:lncRNA
GGCUGAGAUUUCACAACCCAGUGGACCGCUCCCGUCCCUUGACCCCACCCCUAGAGCACUGGUUAGAUGUCAAUGUCAUCACUCAGUAAAACACCUCAACAUAACGCAGCAAAUAUGGAUAUUCAGAAUUUCUUCUGAAAGAGAGGCAAAAAGUGAUCAGGUUGAGUAGUGAAUGAGGUGGAGAGGCUAGAACAGCCAGAAAGUCAGUGCAGCAGCAGAGUUAGCUGCAGGGUUGUUGGUAGCUAACUAGUCUCCAUCAGCAUUUGGGUAGGCUAAUGCCUUUGGUUUCAUUCACACCUGGUUUUCAUUUUCUUUAAUUUCUGUGUGUAUAUUUACCUCUGUUUCCCACUGAGGUUUGUGCGGGAUUGUUUUCAUGUUGCUCAUUGAGGUUUUCCUCAGUUCAUUCACGUGUGUACAGAGUUGUUGUAUAAUUAAGGAGCGUUGUUUUUUCUCCUUCCGUGACUAUUUGUUCCGAUGUCUUGGGCGUUUUGUGGUAUUGUACCUGACCCAUUGGCCUAUUAAAGACGCUACUUUGAACAUCUCUGCUCUCCUGCGCGUGACUACCUUCACUAACCUCAAGUACAGUUUCACAACAGGAUGACUCUAGAAGCUCGCCCAUGGCAACGCAAUAAAACACCUUAAUAAAGGCCACUUUGGAGAAUACUGUGGUAGCAUGUGCAUGCAAAAGACUGCUUACAACAAUUAAACCUCUUCUGCAAAAGUACUUUUGCAACCAAUGUAAUAAUAACACUUACGGCAGUACGGAAUAAUACUACAUACGAUAAACAAUAUGCAAAGAAGCAUUGGUAACUCUAACUGUCACGACUCCGACCGAAGGACACUCCCCUUCCCGUUCGGGUGGCGCUCGGCGGUCGUCAUCGCCGGCCUACUAGCUGCUACUGAUUAUUUCCUCCCCCUCCUUAUGUGUUGAUUGUGUGCACCUGUUUUGAGUUAGGUAGUAGGCUUUAUUAGUCAGCCGGCCCGCAGGGUUCCUUGUGCGGGAUUAAUUAUUGUGAUCGUCUGUUUGGUGUACUUAUGUGCACCUCUAUUUGGGUUUUGUCUUUUCCCAUUUUGUGGGUUUUCCCUGGACGGUUUAAGUCCCCCUGUUUGGGGCAUUUGUUUGUUCAGUACGCCCUGUGUUUUUGUGAGGGUUGGCUUAUGUUCAGCGUUUGUGUCAGUGCAUUAAAAUAGCACUCCCCUGAACUCUCUGCUUCCUGCGCCUGACUCCUCACCCACUACACUCAGACCGUUACACUAACGUUAAAGAAUAGUAGCAGCAAUGCGGUAGAACACAGAGGAAGAAUAUGAUAGACAAUGUUAGCUGUAUGUUAUUCUUCAAUAACACAGGCCCCAAAGCAAAUCAGGGGGAGAAAAUAGAUUUAUUUGAGAAGGACAAAUCAUAGAUGCUAUGCUGAAAUGUAGGUGUUCAAUCUCUCUUGUCUUCAGUUUUUCUCCACAGAACAAAGGAACAGAAUGCCAUUCAUAACCCCCCCACCCUAGCCUGGAGUUGACCAAUCAGAAGUCCUUGCAGUACAACUGGGCCAAUGGCCAAAUAACAAGUAGACCAGAAAAGCCACAUCCCGAAUUGGCAGAUGAGCAGCAACCCUGAUUAGAAGCACCUGCUGCUCAAUGCUGUUUUGAAUUCAAAUAAAAUUGUACCUAAACACUGAAGGCUGUAAAGAAACACAGAGGAUGGUGGCAGUUAUAUUGUCUUAAGAAAGUCGGAGACCUACAAGAUCAACAAGAGAAUGGGUGGAGAUUGGUCAAAAGAUCGAGCGGAUCAGGCAGAGAGAGACCGCGAUCAAGCCAAAACUGAUAAACAGAAAGCGGAGGAGGACAAACAGAACAUGGAGAAGGAAAAGAAAAAGACAGAAGAGGAUUACAGGCAGCUCUUUGCUGAGAAAGUGAGAAUGGAAACAGAACAAAAGAUGGAAGAAAAACAAAGACAGGAGCUUGAGAAGGAAACUCUAAAAGUAAUAGAACACAAUAGACAGCGAGAGAAAAAUGAAAAGACAAGAAUUCAGCUGGAAAAUGCAAAAGGAGAUCAAAAAACUGUAUGAAAUGUAUCCACAUAUUAAGAGACAAAUGCAUAAACGGUUAAAUGAUCCA